ACUCUGUCUGCACUACUUAAGCCCGGCUCAGCCCACCACUCAUCGCUAGAUCGUCCGUUUACCAAGCUUGAUCCUCCAGCAACCUACUUCAACCAAACGCCCAGCUCCUCAACCACAGCCAGCCAGCCACUCAACAUCUGCAAUGCACCCCAGACACCUGAACUCCACCUGCACUGACUAUCAUUAAAGCCCUGUUUCUAAACUUCA